UCUUUGCUUUGUGUGCUAAAGUCAACAGUCGCACGGUUUGAGCUCAAAUAAAUGCGGGGAUGCCUCGGCUGGAAGCAGUCGGCCGCCUCCCUGCCGGCGCUGGACGCUGGGCGCCCGCCGCCGCCGCCGCCGCAGGUCAGGAAUUCACCAGGCACAGCAGGAUGGCUGGUUUCUGCUCCGUGAGUCCAGGGCCUCCUCUGGAAGGCUGGGGCUCAUUUACUUAUGUGUCUUCAACGUCUAUCACAUGAUCUUGGCUGUUGGCUGGGUCCAUGAAUUUGCAAGCGGUAAACCAGCUACGGAAGGAGGAGGGACGUCUGCCGAGGAGGGCUUGGAAGAGGGGAAAUGUUAACACGAACGUAGUGACUGGUCCUUAUUUGAAGGGUCUUGGGGAAGAUGGGGGUGUCUGUGUUAGAAAUGAUUGGCAGGUGAGUGUCUGCAGGGGCCUUACCUCACCCGGAAGAUAUUGUCUGAAAGAGAAAGUCACCCCAAUGUCUGUCCCAAUACAAUCCUGGGAAAAACAUCUGUCGUGUGAUAUUUAGAACUGACAUUUUCAUAAGGAUCCGGUCUAUAGAGGCUUGUGUAGGGCUCAGAGAAUCACAUUUCCCAUCCCCCCCCCUUUAUCUUCUGUAACUAGCAGUGUGUGCGGGGUUGAGUGUGUGCUUUCAGUGGCACACUGAGGACUACAUUUUUAAAAGCUUUUUAUUUGGAAAUAAUUUCAACAAGAGUAACUUCAAUAAUAACAGUUUCACCAUAAUAGUGGUAAUGAUGUCAACAAAUACUAUUUGUUUUCCAAUUUGGAACUUUCACACAUCAUGACUUUUAUCCCUAAAUACUUCAGUAUGUAUUUCUUAAAAGUAGCAGUAUUUUUACAUAGCCAUAGCAUGGUGGUCAACUUUAGUAAAUUAUUAUUGAUGAUAUUUGGUUUCUAAUCUACCACCAUCAUUUUGAUCUUAGCAAUAACUUGAUUCAGAAAGGUAUUAUUUAGAAUUUCCCCCCCCUCGGGCGGCGCCUGUGGCUCAGUAGGUAAGGCGCCGGCCCCAUAGACCGAGGGUGGCGGGUUCAAACCCGGCCCUGGCCGAACUGCAACAAAAAAAUAGCCGGGUGUUGUGGCGGGCACCUGUGGUCCCGGCUACUCGGGAGGCUGAGGCAAGAGAAUCGCUUAAGCCCAGGAGUUGGAGGUUGCUGUGAGCUGUGUGAUGCCAUGGCACUCUACCGAGGGCCAUAAAGUGAAACUCUGUCUCUACCAAAAAAAAAAAAAAAAAGAAUUUCCCCCCCCUCAGUAUACAUUGUCCUAUCUCAGUGGUGUCUUUAAUCUGGAAUAUUUCUAUAAUCUUUCUUUGUAUUUUAUGAUAUUGGCAAUUUUGAAGAAAAUAGUCAUUUUAAGAUAUCAUUUCCUGGCUGCACAUGGUGGCUCACAGCUGUAAUCCUAGGACUCUGGGAGGUCGAGGCAGUGAAUUGCUUUAGCUCAGAAGUUCUAGACCAGCCUGAGCAAGAGUGAGACCCUGUCUCUACAAAAAAUAGAAAAACGAAUCGGGCGUUGUGGCAUGUGCCUCUGCGACUUGGGAGGCUGAGGUAAGAGGAUCUCUUGACUCAACAGUUUGAGGUUGUUGUGAGCUGCGAUCCUAAGGCACUCUACCCAGAGUGACACAGUGGAGCUCCAUCUCAAAAAAAAAAAAAGCGCAUUUCCUUAUUCUCAGGUCUUUGGUGGUUUCGCUGUGAUUGGAUUUGGGGUGUAGAUGCCCACAGGUGAUGCCAUAUCCUUCCUGGGGCACCACUUAAGGGCACACCGUGCUCAUUGGCCCUCCUUGGUGGUGUUGGUGUUAAUCACAAGAGCAGUGACUUCAGGAAAACCCUUUCAAAAGUAUAAUUCCUGGAGACUCAUUCUGCAGGUUCACAUCUGUAGAGCCUCAAGGAGUGAAAUAUUGUUAGAGAAUGCCCUUCUCCAUGGAGCGAAGCUCUGCAGCUGUGUUCAGAGCUCAGCAAAGGCGCUUUUGAGCUGGACCUUCUGGGUAUUGCUGGUCUUCCACUGCCAGGAGGGUGAGGAAAUCAGGUCAGGAUGCACAGCCAGGAGAAAGCUCACCGUGGCCGGGUUCUCAGACCCCUGGGGGGCUCUCCGUGUGACCUGAGCUUUGGCCCAGGGAAGCCCCAUCUGUAUCGUUCUCAGGCAGCCAGGGAAUAGCCGGCUGGACUUCCCCUUGGAUGGAGCCCUUGCUCUGUGCUGCUGGACCCGCCAAGUCUAAUAUCUUCCCAUUCUGUCUGCGUGGAGAAAUGGAAGGGUGCUCUCCAGGUACUGACCGGAAAGGGCUGGCUAACACGUCAGGUUAAAAACACUCUUCAUAGACUGGACCUGCACAAGGCUACAUCUGGAGCAGACCUGGAGCACCACGAAGGUGACUGGUGUGUCUCCGUGUUUCUGAGAGCCUUUCCAGCACCUUCCAUCACAGGUGGUUGUGAGGCGGAAAGAGACGUCAGUACAGACCCAAGGGAGCACUCAGUGCUGGCUGCUCUUCUGUUUAUCCACAGAACUCCAGCAGUCCAGGUAGUCUGUAGCAGAGAGUGAGGCUGGGAGUUGGAGAAUCAGCCUCCAGGGCAGCAGGCCAGAUGGUCAGUGGGCUGGGAUUGCACCACAAGGAAUGUGCCUAUUAUCUCUGAGCUAAUGAUUAGCCAAAGUAGGGUCCUAAGCAGGAAACACAGAACUUUAGAAAAAGUACCUGGGCACUGGGUAGGACAAUAAAUGACAGAGGAUCUGCCUGGAUACAGUUAGGAGAUGUGCAAAAUAUCAAGGCAAGAGGUAGAGCCUGAGGGAACUGGGACAGUGACAGAGGGAUUGAGAGUAGGGUUGAGGGGGAGACCAUUGCAGAGGCAGGGGCAGGGCCUUGCUGGCUGUGACAGCUAAGCUGGAGGUAAGGUGCAGGUGGCUUCCAUGUGUCUGAUGUGGGCAAGACGGGAGAAGAUGGAAUGGAAUGGGCUUGUAGGGAGAGAAAACAAGCCCACAUUCACUGGAGGUGUCUGUGGGCCUUCCAAGGGGAGAUGCCCCAAGGGCAGUCACUAUUUAGGUCUAGAGCCUAAACAAAGGUCCCAGCUGGAGAUGCCAAGAUGGCAGAUGUUGUCAAACUGGCAGACACGACCUUCAGUGGGGAUGAGAUUGCUCAGAGACAACCGGUUAAGAGGCAACAGGGGCCUGUGGUUUUUUUUUUUUUUUGUUGUUGUUGUUGUUGUCGUUUUUUUUCAUUAAAUCAUAGCUGUGUACAUUAAUGUGAUCAUGGGGCACCAUACCCUGGUUUCAUAUAUCGUUUGACACAUUUUCAUCACACUGGUUAACAUAGCCUUCCUGGCAUUUUCUUAGUUAUUGUGCUAAUACAUUUACAUUCCACAUUUACUAAGUUUCACAUAUACCCUUGUAAGAUGCACCACAGGUGAGCAGGGGCCUGUGUUUAUAGCUUCCUCUGCAUGACUGAGCUGGGGCACCUUGUCUACCCACCCUCAGCCUCAGAGUGCGUGUCAUCUGGAAGUAACACCGCUGUCCAUGUGCCAGGGCACACAGCAGGUCCUCCGUGACCUUGACCACCACUUCAACAAAGACAAGCGUACAGAGCUGGGGGAAGGGGCCAGGAAGGAGCCACAGUGAGGGAGAAAGGGCUGAGGAGAGUGGCCACAGAGACAUGGAGGAGGGUCUUCCAGAAAGGAGGGAAGGGAGAGAAUCUUGAGGAGCUGGUGAUGUAGAAGCCAAGACAGGAGACCUUUUGAAGGAGUUGGGGAUGGUGUGCAAUUUCAGAAGACUCAGGAAAAAGGGAGAGGGGUCCACAGGAUAGGAAACCAAGAGGUCACCAGCAUCUUUGGUGGGGCAGAGGCUGCCGGGGAGGAGAGAACCAGAGGAAGAGACUCAAGUGAAUGCUUAGCAAAGAAAGAAAAGAAGGUAUCUGUAUUGAGAAAUGUUUGAAGCUGUUGUAUAGAGCAAACGAGUUAUCUCACCCAAUACAAUGUGCCCAGGUGGGUAUGUCGGCCUCAUUUUACAGCUGACCAGAUUGAGGUACCGAGAGGUUGACAGCCUACGUCAAGGUCACACAGCUGGAAAGAAUGGCAUUCAAUCUUAGAUGAACUUGGGCUUUACCUCUGAAUCCAACAGGUGGAGGAAGAAGAGAGCAGAUGUGUUCUUAAAAUUAGAAAGAAGGCUGUGGCCAUUAUGGACACCUAAUAAUGAACUAGACCACAUCCCAACGUAAGGAGGCCUCUGUCAUGGGACUGUCCGGCCCAGUCUAGCCCUCAGGAGGCACAGCUGGUUUGUAUUAUAUGUGUGUAUGUAUAGUGCCCCCAAAAGGCACGCACACUUUAAGAAAGGAAAAACUGUGGCUCAAAGGAGUAGGGCGCUGGCUCCAUAUGCCGGAGGUGGUGGGUUCAAACCCAGCCCUGGCCAAAAACUGCAAAAGAAAAAAAAAAAAGAAAGGAAAAACUGUAUUACAUUUAUAAUACUCGAGUCAUAUUUGAUUUCUACAGUUAUAAGAGAUGCUCAGUGUGACUUGUACCCAUCCUUUGUUAUUAAUAUGUAUGAAGCAUUACAAUUUUAAUACAGUUUUUUCUUUUCUUAAAACAUGUAUACAUUUUUCACACCUUCUGUAUUUCUACUUGAGCAUUUGUGCCCUCCUUGGAGCCUGAGUCUCUAGGAAGUUUACUAAGAGGUAAAUGCCCUGACUCCCCACAGUCCUGGGAUGGAGAGGGGGCUCCCUGAUGGUGUGUGGGCAGCUGUGUUUAGUGGGGACUCCUCUACCAAGAGGCGAGUCAGGUAUCUAUAUGCUCAGCCCCAUCUCUGGUCUGAGUCUGGGUGAGUCUCUGAGCUCUCUGAGUCACGUGAUGAGGCCACCGGACACCAGCAGGAUGGGGGGAGGGAGGGUCACAGUCCGCGUUGGGAGUCCAGUUCAGGACAAGCCUCGGACUGGAGGCACGAACAGGGAAUGGGCAUCUGGCACACCAAGGGUCUAUGGGUAUCAGUUAUAUUUCUGAGCAGGUCCCCAGGUGGAGCAGAGGCACAGCACCUCAGGUGACCCCACAUGACCUGUUCUGAGGCUUUGCUGCGUGGGGUAAGCUGACUUGUGGCUCAGACACCAAGGGCUGGACUGUGCUAGCAGGUCUCUCAGUGACUCUGAGAGAGUCAAAGGUCGGGUGUCCUGGGGGUGCUGGGAGGAAAUGAAGCCUGAACCCUGCCCAGGGGACCGGGCAAGACAAGACGAUGGUGCCUCUGAAAGUCCUCGCAGAAAUGCUUCAGAGGGAAGGGUCAAAGCCAGGCACUCAGACUGUGGAAUUUGGUGCUCAAAACAAACCAAAGAAACAUGUGUGAUGGUCUUGACUUCAUAUGGAAUAUUACUGAAACCCAGAGAGGUUGAGCAUCUCAUCUGGGACCCACAGCCAGGAAACUGGAAUUCAGCUCAGACUCCCAGGGUUAGGAGAAGAGCAGGGAACUUCUGAGGUCAUAACACUUCUUAAAAUGUUCCUUUUCUUUCAGAGAGAUACAAGCACCAGAGAAGAGGCUGAUUUGAGACUGAGGGAGUCUUUUUUAGAGCUGGAGAAAUAUUUGGAGGAAAAGGAAGGUUUAGUUCACAGGGUUCCUUGACUCCAGAUGCCAGUCCAGUAGUGCCACCGUCCCUCUGGGUGUGAUUGGAGGCACUCUCAGAGGUCACAGCAAGGGGGGGUGGGUGUCAUCAUGGGAAGGCAGGAUGGGGAUGCUGAUGUGUGUGCUCUGCAUUCUUCCCAGUGAGCGCCAUGGAGACCUCGUCCUGAGUGUUUUGGAGAGUGUGGUAUGGCAGGCUCCUCACAGGAGCUGAAUUCUGAUUCUUCAGGAUAGGAGGCCUCUCUGGUUGGCUUUCCAAGCAUCAGGUUUGGAGAAUGACCUAAUCCCUGGAGAAGGCUCUGUGCUUCUCCCCUGGUGCCCUGGUCUUUGUUAUUGGCAGAGCUAAUUGGGCGCCGUGGUGAGUUAGCAGGCCCCAAACAGAAGGAGAACACCGGCUAAGCCUGGGUGGCUUCCUCCCUCUGGACCCUCUUCUUUCUGGAGCUGGGCCAUCCAGGCUGUGGUCUUGAGUUCUCAGCCCCUCAUGGGAGCUAUUUCUUCUGUCACGUAGAAUUCCGUCUCUUGCCAAAAUCACCAUCAGCUAAACCAACAUCACUUUUUUCAGAACUGGGCUGGAGGGUGCUGUGACAUCCUUAUAGUCCCUGGGUUAUUCCUGUGUCACCAGGACCCACUUAUGAAAAGCUGACGUUUUUGUUUUUCUGGGCUGUCAACUGCCUGUCUCUAUACGGGUGGAGAAACCAAGGCUCUUCCAGAUGCCGUGUGAUAACAUUUUCUCACUGAAUGUCCUUAAAAUAUCUUGGGGCAGAGCCCUGGCUUGUCAAGUUUGCAGGCAUGGCAGCAGGUCCUGAGCUCUGUGCUGCACUUACAUAAACCCUCGGUCAGUGACAAAGCCUGGUGUGGUCUCUGCAGAUGGGGACACAGCUCCUUUCCUAGCUGGCCUCUGAAGGCUGCCCAGGCUCAUUUAUUGGAACUCUGGGUCAUAGGAAAGGCUCUGAGAGAUUUUGUAAUUUAAGAUUUCUUUACUUUGAGAUUUAGAGAAGCCAAGAAAUUCACCAGAACUCAGAAAGAGAUAACUAAGACCCUAGGACUUGUGAGCAGGAACCUGGAUAACCGGGGCCAGCUGCUGUUCACAGAUGUGCGGCAUGCAGGCCAGGACCUCUUGGCGAAGCUUCCAGGAGCAAAUCCUUCUGUCAUCCCCUUACGGGAGCUCUCACUCUCCCAUCUGGAGCCUGCUAUCCUAAUUAUUUCACAUUGAGUGGCCAGAGACAAUGCAAUUCCAAUCUUAGAAGGCCAUAAAUACUGGACAGGCUGAGGUGAAGCUGUGGGAUCACACAGCCUGGGUUGUGUUUCCCCUUUUUACUAUCCACUAGCUACAGGGCCAUGGGUCCAGUCCGGUGACCUUAUUGUGCCUCAGUUUCCUCAUUCGAAAAUGGGAGUAAAAGAGCCUAACUCACAGGUUCCUCUAGGGAUUAUAUGAGUUAAUAUGUCUAAAAUGCUUGAAAUAAUGAACUAUUGUAUGUCUGCCUUAAAAAAAUGGAUGUCUUAUGACAUAGUAUAAUUCCAAGGAUUGGUUCUUGGAGGUAAAAACUACAAGGAAAGGACCUUCUGGGAUCCUGUAGUCACUCACCAAGUUCAUCUCAAGGUGCUAGGCACCACCGUCCACCAUGGUCACCUCUCCUGUUCUAUAGCCACCCCGCUGGGUAGCUGUGUUGGCUCUUUAAGGUGAUAACUGUCUAAUGAAUUUUAAUAGGGAUUUUUUAAAAGAGCAUAAACAACCAACUAUUAUAUAAGAACUUACGAUGUAAACUGUUUCUUAGUAUGUGACUUGGACUCUCUAAGAUGGGCCCCAAUUUUCUCCACCUCCUGGUAUCCAUGACCUGGGGUGAUACGGGAAGAUGAGGGAAUACCUCUUCCAUGAUUAGAUCACAAACAACUUCAGUCUUGCUUGCUUUGAUGACGCAAGCUGCCGUGUUGGGGAAGUCCGCCCGAGAGGACCACUGGCAGCCUCCAGUUAGCAGCCAGCGAGGGCCUGGAGAACCCGGGUCCUGCCAACAGCUCCCUUGGUGCACCUGGACGCAUCUUACAGAGGAGACCCCGGCCCACAUCUCAACUGCAGCUUAGGAGAGACCACAAAGCAGAGAGUCCAGAUCAGCCAGGCCUGGCGUCCUCCCAAAAGAAACUCUCGGAUGAUAGACCCUUGUUACUGCAGCCACUGAGACCACUGAGAUUUGGAGCAAUGUGUUAACACCACAGAGGGUAACAAAGAGAUUUUAUUUAGGAAGAACAAAGAGAAAAUUCAGAGCACUCCCAGAGGAAGUUGGAAGAGAGUCCCUCUCAUGAAGGAGCAGAGUUCCUUGUCCAUAGAAGGACUGCAAGAAAUACUGCCGGCGAAUCAUGGAGUUAAGCAGCCUGGAAUGAAUGUACGUUCUCCAGAAACCAAAUGGAUACCUAAUACCUCUCCUUAGGAAGGUUGAGGCUUGAGUCAAGACCUUGAAAACUGGAGGCCACUGGAACCCAGCGGCAGGCAGAGGCAGAAUUUUAGGUUUGCAGACUGGACCAAGUGCACAGCCCGCCACUGCCCUUGAGUUAUGAUCCCUCAGUCUUGCCCAGCUCCAUCUGAGAAGCCAAGGACUUUGGCUGUGAUCAUCUGAGAUGUGACCGUGACUCUUGCUGCCCCAGGAACAAAGGGCAAUUAUGGCUCUUUUGUGAAAGGUUGUUUAAGUGAAAGAAAACAUGUUGGAUCUAUUAAGUACAGAGUAUAAAUGUCUUAACACAAUAAUUAAGUAAAUGAGAUGAGGUAUAUAUUAACCAGUGUGAUGUAAACGCUCCUCAUUCUAUGUGAAAUCAGCACAUUUUACCCCAUAAAUGCAUGAAUGUAUACAUGAGCUAUGCAUUUAUGAUUCAAUUAAAAAAAAAAGAUUGGGGGAGCCAGUCCCAGGCUCGAUCUCUAAAAUAAACGUCCUGCCUGUGUCUCAGUUUCCUCAUCUGUAAUAUUCCACCUUCUGCUGGUAAUUCUCCAACUCUUCCUGACCUAGUUCCACGGGAUCAUGGAUCAUUGAAAAUACCUGGUUCCCCUCCCCACCUCCAUCCCUCCAUCCCAUGACUCUGUGGCCUCCAUUAUACCCUUCAUGCUCCGAGAAAACAGUCUCUGUGAAGCGAACUUCAAAGGUUGGCAGUUCAGGCUCCUUGCAGAGGUCCUGGAGGCAACAAUGAGCUGGAAGCAGAGCUGGGUAGAGGCUGCCCAGAGGGCCCUCUUUAACCCGGCAACUAUUGUGUUCAAAGUCAUUGCUGCAGUCACAGUGUAACAAUGCAUUUGGCAACCCAACUGAGCUUGGCUUUCACACCAAGGUGGCCCUUGCCAGCAGUGCCAAUGACACUAAAUAGUAAAAGCUUUUUUUCUUCUCUUUAUUAAAAAAAUUUAUAACCACAUCAAAGGAAAAAAUUGUAUUGAAUAAGAAAACAUCUGCCUGUAAUCCCAGCCCCCUCACCCAUCACCCUGAAUUGGGGACUUCUGGUGUUUCUGUUUUUCUUUUCAUUUUUAAGACAGAGUCUCACUUGGUCACCCUGGGUAGAGUGCGGUGGCAUCAUAGCUCACAGCAACCUCAUACUGUUGGGCUCAAGUGAUUCUCUUGCCUUAACCUCCUGAGUAGCUGGGACUGUAGGCACCUGCCACAACACCUGGCUAUUUUUUAGAGAGUGGGUCUCAUUCUUGCUCAGGCUGGUCUUGAAUUUGUGACUCAGGCAAUCCACCCACCUUGUGCUGGGAUUACAGGCCGGUGUUUUGUUCUGUUUUCUGGGUAUGUGGUUGGCAAUGCGACUGAGGCUUUAUUUUGGAAAAAGCAAUCAAAUUGGUUUUUAGUUGGGGGCAUAUGUCCUUUCUACUAAUAUAGAAAUGGUGGUUUCUCCAGAACAGCUCAGGGUUCUGUGUUUUACCAAACAUUAUAAUAGGCUUGAGGUCUAUCAUCUUUUCACCUAUUGUUGUACCAGGCCUAGAACUCUUCACGGCAAUGUGCCGUAACCAGCUGGAACCUAUUUCUGGUUCUGGGGGAGGGUUUGCUAUUAUAAACAACACGGCAGAUGCAUACCACUGGACUGUAACAUAUGUCACUGGGUCGACAUUUUUGAUAUUUGAUUAUUUUUGCUUUACUUGGCAUUUUGGUAAUGUUACCUUUGUUUGUUUGUUUACUUAUUUUAAAAUUUAUUUUCUAAAACAGAGAUUCCUACUAAAUCUAUUUUCUCUAGACAUAUGUGAAGCUGCAGUUUUUAGUUUAGGUGAAUUCUCUCCCCAUACACCAUAUUUUAGUAUGACCAUUUUCAAACACACAAAACGUUUGGAAGAAUUUCAUAAUGCACACUCAUAUGCUGAGUGUGAAGAAACCAAACCUUGAAACCAUUCAGUAAGACCAUUCAGUAAUGUGAUUUUUUUUUUUUUUUUUUUUUUGAAACAGAGUCUCAAGCUGUUGCCCUGAGUAGAGCGCCCUGGCAUCACAGUUCACAGCAACCUUCAACUCUUGGGCUUAAGCGAUUCUCUCUUUUUUUUUUUUUUUAAUUGCUCUCUUCUUUUUUUUUUUUUUUUAUUGUUGGGGA